rnacentral:ribozyme from 1 species
GACCGACCCAUCAACUCACGUGAGAAAGGCAGGCAGGGAUACGUUAGCGUCAUGGACAUAAGGUACAAACGACAAUUUGUGU